ensembl:snRNA U6 U6 spliceosomal RNA
GUGUUCACUUUGGCAGCACAUACACUAAAACUGGAACAAUAAUACAGAGAAGAUUAGCAGGGCCCCUGCGUAAGGAUGACAUGCAAACUCGUAAAGAGGUCCAUAUUAAA